CUAUGUCCCUGUGGGUAGGUGUGAGGGCGAAGAGGAACCUGUGGGCCUCGGGGGAUCCUGGGGGGCCAGACCAGUGUUCCCCAUUUGUGGGGGCAGACGCGUGAGCGCAUCGCGGGCAGGAGGGGCCUGACGUGCAUUUGCGGGCCGUGGACCCUGGCGGGGGCUGGGAGGACAGGCGUGGGGUCCCAGCAGUGAAGCGGGUUCCAGAGGCGCAGGAGUGGCUAUGUUUCCAGUGUCCUCUGGGUGUUUCCAAGAGCAACAAGAAACGAAUAAAUCUCUGACCCUUCUCAGGUGCAGCCAGAGAGACACUAGCCCACUGAUGGACGGACAGACGUGGGCAGGGUACGUGUCACUAAACCUCCCACCACUGCCACAGCUGCCUACAACAGACACAUCAGAUGACACUCCGGGCAAAUAAAUGAUUUUCACUGAGGACUUACUGGUUUUAAUAAUAGGUCCUGGUGUAGAGAAGUCCCUCAACCUAUUGUGCAAUGAGUUUUGAGAAGCGGGUAAGCUGUAUGUUUUGUGGUUUUUGUUUCAUAAAUGCAUCUACAGGAAGACCAAUAUUGACUGAAUGAAGCUUUCAUUUAAAGAGCUAAAAUAUGCUUUGUGUUUUUAUAUGUGGAUACUACUUUAAACCUAAUGACUAUUCAUUGUAUCAUAGCUUGUGAUGUAUUCUGCUCAUGGCUUUUAAGGUAAAUUGUGCCAUGAUCCACUGCCAUUCUAAUUGCUUUAACAAGUCAUUGCCACACUACUGUUACAUAUUAAUUAUGCAUACAGACAGGUAGACUUAUUUUACAUAUGUGAACUAACUAGUUGUCAAAGCAAAUGCAGAUUGUAUUCUGCAAGUAAAGUCUUUUUCUCUCUGAAAUUUCUAGGGAUGUUCUUUAAGUGAAAUUCAUAUUCAGACUGAAGAUUUUAGUUACAAGAACUGAGUGCAGAUUAAAGUCUUUUUGUGAUUCAAACAUAUUCAAGAGUACAACUGUGAUAUUUCAUGGAAGUUACGCAAUAAAAUGUCUCUAACCUGCGAACAAAUCUAUCAAGCAGACGGCACAGUACUGAAUUUGAAACCAGAAAUACUGGGUUUUUAUAUAAAUGCUUCAUAGAUUUGUUUUAUGAUAAAGGGCACAUAACUCUCCUAAACCUCACACCAUCUCUUGAAUAGGUAUAAUAAGCCCACAUCAAUGCUGAUGCCUUAGCUAUUAUUAAACUCUUACAGUAUGAUGUAAAGUGAAAGUACAAUGUAAGAUCAUUCCUAGGCCAACUUUGACCAGUUUUAUACAGAAACAUGUGCCAACUUUUCUGUUUGCAAAGAUAAUAUCAAAGCAAACACCAGAAAGUUAUAUCUUUGGUGCAUUUUUUCAAAAUCAUACACAUAAUACACAAACCAAAGACAAAUGAUGAAUAUUAUGUCAGAAAAUAUAAAGUCUUCCCCUUUCUUCUUUUGCCAAGAAAGUCCAAUAUUUUCACCAUUUUUAUGCACACAAUCAACUUUAUUUAAGCUGGAAGUUAAUGUCUCAUUGUUUUCAUUGUUCUAAAUAAACACCUUUUCCCUUGAGUAUUGUUCUAAAAA
ensembl:lncRNA novel transcript